rnacentral:rRNA from 1 species
UACGUAGGGGGCAAGCGUUGUCCGGAAUCAUUGGGCGUAAAGAGCGUGUAGGCGGCUCGAUAAGUCUGCUGUGAAAGUCCAGGGCUCAACCCUGGAAGGCCGGUGGAAACUGUCGGGCUAGAGUCCGGAAGAGGCGAGUGGAAUUCCCGGUGUAGCGGUGGAAUGCGUAGAUAUCUGGAGGAACACCGGUGGCGAAGGCGGCAUCCUGGACCGGUAUUGACGCUGAGGCGCGAAAGCUAGGGUAGCAAACGGG